AGGGACGGGGACAUUUCUUCCCAGCAGAGGAGACGGCUCCUGGUGGGGACCGGAGGAGGUGCUUCUCUAGCAAACACACCAAGUUCUGGGCUCUCCUCUCGACCUGCGCCACUCGGAGCCUGGGGCUCUCGUGGUCCCCGACUGCAGCCCUGACAUUUCCCACCCGCAGUCUUCCAAGGACACUGUGGUUUUAAGGAGCAGGCCUCUGUCUGGAGGCUGUUUGCAGGAAACUGAACCCCUCUGCACCCACAGAAGCAGACGGACACUGCCCUGGGGAGUCUGUGGUGCACCUCCUUCCUGACUCUGGGGAGGGGCCGCCUCAGAAAGGCCGGUGAUUUCAGCAAGAAAGAGGACAUCUGUCCAUCCAGGACACCUGGUCCCGGAUGAUGUCCGCAUCUCAAGACCCUCAGCUUGACCACAUCUGCCAAGACUCUGUCUCCAAGUCGGGAGCAUUCUCCAGUUCCAGGAAUCAGCCUCACAGAUUCAUCCCGACCCAGCAAUACGGGGAGUAAAGAGGCCAGCCCACGCGGAUCCCCUAGCAGCCCCACACUGAGCCUGCUCAUUGAAAACUGAUGGCAUCACCAGUUCACCUGGUGACACUGGGGGCUUUGGUCUCCAUCGGGACGGCCACCCCACUCCGUUAGCUGGUGUCUGCCCAGUGACGAAUAGGCAGAUGUACCGAGAAGGAGAUGUCCUGAGCGUCCCCCUUCCCCACUGUGGGCCUUUGAUCUCAGGCCCUUCCCACCUGCCAUCAUGACCCUGCGUGGGUCUCUGUCCCCUGAGUUCAGUCGAGGAAGCUGAGAUGACAAGGAAGAGUUCUGCACGUGGGUGCCUGGGCUCCUCCCAGGAUACGAAG